rnacentral:rRNA from 1 species
CGGAGGGUGCAAGCGUUAUCCGGAUUCACUGGGUUUAAAGGGUGCGUAGGUGGCUUUGUAAGUCAGUGGUGAAAUCUCGGAGCUUAACUCCGAAACUGCCAUUGAUACUGCUUAGCUUGAAUCAAGUAGAGGUGGAUGGAAUAUUACAUGUAGCGGUGAAAUGCUUAGAUAUGUAAUAGAACACCGAUUGCAAAGGCAGUUCACUAUGCUUGUAUUGACACUGAGGCACGAAAGCGUGGGGAUCAAACAGGAUUAGAUACCCUGGUAGUCACGCCCUAAACGAUGUAAACUCGACAUCAGCGAUACACAGUUGGUGUCCAAGGGAAACCGUUAAGUUUACCACCUGGGAAGUACGACCGCAAGGUUG